UGGGGAAUUUUGGACAAUGGGCGCAAGCCUGAUCCAGCCAUGCCGCGUGCAGGAUGAAGGCCUUCGGGUUGUAAACUGCUUUUGUACGGAACGAAAAGGUGCCUUCUAAUAAAGGGCGCUCAUGACGGUACCGUAUGAAUAAGCACCGGCUAACUACGUGCCAGCAGCCGCGGUAAUACGUAGGGUGCGAGCGUUAAUCGGAAUUACUGGGCGUAAAGCGUGCGCAGGCGGUUUUGUAAGACAGAGGUGAAAUCCCCGGGCUCAACCUGGGAACUGCCUUUGUGACUGCAAGGCUGGAGUGCGGCAGAGGGGGAUGGAAUUCCGCGUGUAGCAGUGAAAUGCGUAGAUAUGCGGAGGAACACCGAUGGCGAAGGCAAUCCCCUGGGCCUGCACUGACGCUCAUGCACGAAAGCGUGGGGAGCAAACA
rnacentral:rRNA from 1 species